rnacentral:rRNA from 1 species
GCAUAUCACUAAGCGGAGGAAAAGAAACUAACAAGGAUUCCCUUAGUAACUGCGAGUGAAGAGGGAAAAGCCCAGCACCGAAGGUAGUAUCCAUUUGGGUAUCUACCAAUGUGGUGUUAAGGUCAGCUCGCGUAGGUGCGGCUCCAUCUCAAGUCCAGCAAUGAGUACGGCUAUGGACUGAGCCCAGAGCGGGUGAAAGGCCCGUUGAGGUGGAGUUCAGAAAUGACCGCGCCUAUCGUGUUUGACCAUGGAGUCGGGUUGUUUGUGAAUGCAGCCCUAAGCGGGUGGUAAACUCCAUCCAAGGCUAAAUACUUACACGAGUCCGAUAGCGAACAAGUACCGUGAGGGAAAGUUGAAAAGUACUUUGAAGAGAGAGUAAACAGUGCGUGAAGCCGCAUAGAGGUUAAACGGGUAGAGUUAAACUGCGUGGGUCAUGGAUUCAGCCGAUGAAUGUGACUUGUGCUUGGACAAAUUGAUUCGUCUUCAGAGUCUGCUUAGCUGCAGGUCCCAUCCGGGAUUCACGAAGCACUUACCAAGUGUUGUGCGCUCUGUUGAUGAGAUGUCAGUUCGUCGGUGCACUUCCAUGACUCCUUGACCACGAUCGGUGUCAUUGGACUGUCCUCGUUGUCAAACUGUGGAUGUAGAAUUUUCUAUGUCUUCGGUGUGGUAGCACCCCUGUGUAUGCAGGUCGCAGUUGUCUUCGAGAUACAAGCUGAUGGACCGGGGCGACGGCCUUGGCGUGCUCUUAUACCCUCUGAUAGAUUGUGUUGGGUAUGGUUUUUGUGUGCUUGUGUAAGCAGGCCCAUUGACUACUCAGUGUUUUCUAUUAGUGUGGUGUCGGGGUGGCCAAUUUUGAGGGCCAAAGUCAGUGGUGUGUGGUAAACUUUCUACCCGA